CAGUCGCCGCGGUAAUACGAAGGGUGCAAGCGUUAAUCGGAAUUACUGGGCGUAAAGCGUGCGUAGGCGGUGAGUUAAGUCUGCUGUGAAAUCCCCGGGCUCAACCUGGGAAUGGCAGUGGAUACUGGCUCGCUAGAGUGUGUCAGAGGAUGGUGGAAUUCCCGGUGUAGCGGUGAAAUGCGUAGAGAUCGGGAGGAACAUCAGUGGCGAAGGCGGCCAUCUGGGACAACACUGACGCUGAGGCACGAAAGCGUGGGGAGCAAACAGGAUUAGAUACCCGCGUAGUCCCUGUCUCUUAUAA
rnacentral:rRNA from 1 species